UGUGGUCUACACCCUUCUAGACCAGGUUUUGGCAUCUCCAGCAGAAGGACCUGAGAAGAUAGGUGCUGGAGGGAGCAGAGCUCCCAAAGGUGUGCUCACCUAGGACCUCAGAGGGUCUCUUCACUUGGAAAAAGGUUCUUUGCGGAUGUCACUAUUCAUGACCAAGUCACGGAGCCUGCGCCCACCAGGGUCUACAUUUAAGGACAGGACAGCUGCCAACAGGAGGCUCACGCUCAGCGAGGAAGCUGGGAAUGGCAAGGAGGUAUUCUCUAUGACCACUGUCACCUGUGGAGUGCCAAGAGGUUAAAGUGGAGACAAGAUGCUUUGGGGAGCAGGCUGGCAGAACACAUGCUCAGGGCUGACUCUUGCACCACCCCAAGGCCCAGCCUCAUCCUGCAUAGUCUGGGAACAGCUGAGGUUGGGCAUGGCGGGACCUGAUGUGUCUAACACUCUGCCCUGUUCACAGAGUCUGCAGGCAGAAAGGAAUUGAGAUGGCUCUACCACAGUAUUCCACUGAGACUUCUGGGAGAGUCUGGGCCUGGGGCUGCUUCUGCAUCUGCAUCUUUAGGAAAACAAUUUUUACUGCAGCUCAGCACAGCCAGGAGGUCUUGAUUCUGCUUCCUUCAUUUAUUCUUGAGUUCCAUCUGUAAAAUGGGAUGAUGUGGCUGAUGUAGCCUGCUAGGGCCCAGUUUGCAGCUGCCGUGGUGCUCUGUGGUUAAGGCGAGCAAUGUGGGGAAGCACGGGAUGAGCUUAAAGUCCGUGGAUGACAAGGCAGUUUCCAUCCCCCUGUCAUUUGGAUGGUGAACCUGGCUGCUGAUGCCCUCUGGGAUUGUGGACAAGAACAAUAGGAAAGAACUUGGGGCAAAGACUAUGUCUUCCUGGGUUAGACAGAGCUGAAUCAGCAAAUAUCCACAAAGCCAAACAUCUGUGCCUCUUCUUGGCUGUGGGGCACACAGUGGUGGCUUCUCACGGUUGUCUUCUCUGCCUGACAGAGGCAACAGAGUAGUGUCCAGGGGAUGAAAUGAAGAAAGACAACAAUGCGCAGAGCAGACUCAAGGCAGCAGUGAAAUGUCACACAGAGGCAUGACAGCAACUGACUUGCUUCACUGACUAAAGACGGAAAUGAAAUCAACACAGAGACUGGAAGAGACGCAGAGUAAAACAGAGACAAAGAGACAGACAACAAGAAAGACAGAGACAGACAGGCAGAGAGAUCGAGGAACACACACACACACACAGAGGUCAGUGGCAGGGGCAGGGAUGUGAAUGUGUCUUCACAGUGGAAAACAGCACUCACAGAGGUGGGUAAGGGUGACAGAGCUUACUUAGCCUAGCUGUGAUUUGGUCCAGCCUGUUUCAAAUAGGCAAACUGAGGCUGGUGAACCUGGUAUAUUUGUAACUGUUUGUUAAAGCUAAUGGGGACUGUGGCUGGCACUGGAAUCCAGUCCUGAAUCUUGGAGGCAAAACCAUGUCAACUUGUGAAAUAUUUUUUAAGUUAGCUCACAAGUGUUUACUGUUUGUCAGAGAAUUAAGACUGUUUUUAUAUUGCA